AGUUACCCGCGCCGCGAUCAUCCGAACGCAAACCAUAACACCCCGCAGUUGGCACUGCUCAGCACAGCAGAAUUGUGGUAGUAGGGGCUGUUUCGAAGAGACGCGACGAAUGGCGCGGACAGAGACAAAAGUGUGCGAUUGAAAAUCAAUUUCCCGAUCAGUACCUACAGUAGAACUAUUCCAGAUGAGUUUAUGUAUAAUAUAAUAAAUUACAUUGAUGUCCAAGAAAUCGCUACAGGGGUUCUAUCAAAAGGGUAGUGGAUUUCAACAGGAUCGUAACGAGAUGAACUUUCCUACUGUUGUUGAUUUAGUAAAUUUUUAAAUUUCUCCCCUUUGUGUGCUUUUGUACAUGCCUAUGUUGAUAAUGUACGUGGCGCCGGGAUGUCCGUAGCGAUAGCAAAGGGAAGCAAAGUCAACGCCAAACACAAGAGGUGGAUCAACUCGGAGAGAAAAUUUUAUUCACUGCAUAUGAUACACUCCUAGUUUCAUAUUAAAAUUUUGAAUGGAUACAAGUCGAUAAACUUAUGAAUAAUUAACGAAUGAAGCAUUGAAAUGUAAAGAAUUACACGAAUUAAUGAGAACAUAUAUAAUAAUUAUAAUUGUACCGGUGUUAUUUAAAUCACAUAAUCAUUUUCAUAUUUCUUACAAUUAUAACUGUUCACGUUAAAAAUGGGGUAGCAGUUGUUGUUUUAAAGGUUGUAUGAGUCAUUUAGAUUUAUAUUAAUUAUAAUUAUGUAAAUAAAAAGCAGACACACGCUAGUUAACGUGGGGUUUUUCGUCGUAGUCAAGUGGCACGUUUUUUUUAUAAAUUUUUAUAUUAUAAAAUGCAAACAUUUUCUUCUAAGGUGCAAUAAAAUUUUAUGUUUGCCUGCAGUGAAGUGUUUUAAAUUAUAAACCAACGUUAUAAAAACAAGAAAGAUGAUUUUGGUAAUUUGAUUAAUUAUUCUUGAAUUAUAUUAAGUAAUAAUGUAAAAUUACCGUAAUAAUAUUUUUAUAAUAUUCUCCGCAAUGUUUUUAAGAAUAUUUGUUUUAACAUAAUUGUAAAAUGGUCUUGAAUUGUCCAACAAGUAAAACAUUGGUCACUUCUAAAUUUAUCAAUUUAACUUUAGAUAAUUUGAUCAAAUGACGAUAAAAAUAUAGUCCACUUCAAAUAAAAGUCAACCAAUUAUUCAAUUAUAUGUUUUCGAAUUUAUCAAUAUUUUAAAAUUAGUUUUAGAAGUAAUCAAAUUUAUGUUUGACUGUCAAGUUGUGCUAAAUUCGUUGUAAUCAAAUAGAAUUUAUUUUUUACUGGAAAGUUAUUUAUUUCAUUUUUUUUCUUGGGAGGGUUAUUAUUAUUAGACUUUGAACAACAAAUAAAAUAUUAAGAAGCCAUAGAAAUGCACAAUAUUAAGAAGCCAUAGAAAUGCAAAAAUAUUAAGAAGCCAAAGAAAUGCACAAUAUUAAGAAGCCAUAAAAAUGCAAAAUAUUAAGAAGCCAAAGAAAUGCAAAAAUAUUAAGAAUCCAUAGAAAUGCAAAAAUAUUAAGAAGCCAUAGAAAUGCAAAAAUAUUAAGAAGCCAAAGAAAUGCACAAUAUUAAGAAGCCAUAAAAAUGCAAAAUAUUAAGAAGCCAAAGAAAUGCAAAAAUAUUAAGAAUCCAUAGAAAUGCAAAAAUAUUAAGAAGCCAUAGAAAUGCAAAAAUAUUAAGAAGCCAAAGAAAUGCACAAUAUUAAGAAGCCAUAAAAAUGCAAAAUAUUAAGAAGCCAAAGAAAUGCAAAAAUAUUAAGAAUCCAUAGAAAUGCAAAAAUAUUAAGAAGCCAUAGAAAUGCAAAAAUAUUAAGAAGCCAAAGAAAUACAAAAAAAAAAAAAUGAGAAACCAUAGAAAUAAAAACUAUUAAGAAGCUAUAGAAAUGUAAAUUAUAUAGCAUAAGAUUUUUAAAUAUUUAAAUAGCAAUAAAUAUUGUGAAAAUAAUGAUACAAUAAAUUUUAAAUAAUAAAUAAUAUUAUGAUUAAUAUUCUUUCACCUUCAUUUUUUUUU